rnacentral:rRNA from 1 species
GUGGGGAAUAUUGCACAAUGGGCGAAAGCCUGAUGCAGCAACGCCGCGUGAGGGACGACGGCCUUCGGGUUGUAAACCUCUUUUCGUAGGGAAGAAGCGAAAGUGACGGUACCUGCAGAAAAAGCACCGACUAACUACGUUCCAGCAGCCUCGGUAAUACGUAGGGUGCAAGCGUUAUCCGGAAUUAUUGGGCGUAAAGAGCUCGUAGGCGGUCUGUCGCGUCUGCUGUGAAAACUGGAGGCUCAACCGCCAGCCUGCAGUGGGUACGGGCAGACUAGAGUGCGGUAGGGGAGAGUGGAAUUCCUGGUGUAGCGGUGGAAUGCGCAGAUAUCAGGAGGAACACCGAUGGCGAAGGCAGAUCUCUGGGCCGUAACUGACGCUGAGGAGCGAAAGCGUGGGGAGCGAACAGGAUUAGAUACCCGAGUAGUCC